UGGCUCAGUGGUUGAGCACUUGCCUUGCAUGCAUGAGGCCCUGGGUUCGAUUCCUCAG
rnacentral:tRNA from 1 species